rnacentral:rRNA from 1 species
GUCGUUGCGAUAGUAAUUCUGCUCAGUACGAGAGGAACCGCAGAUUCGGACACUUGGUUCACGUGCUUGGUCGAGAGUCCAGUGGUGCGAAGCUACCAUCCGUGGGAUUACGACUGAACGCCUCUAAGUCAGAAUCCCGUCUAAGCACCGCAACGAUAUCGUGUGCACUUGCGGCGAAUGCGGGUAAGAUUAGCGCCGGGUCGAGCGCGGCGGGCCGCCGCGCUUCCCGGCUCGAUGACGCCAAAUGGACCCAGAGAGCGCUACACCGGAGGCCGAGUAUUGACGAGGCCACCGGCCGCUCUCCGGGGCUAUGGCUGGCCUGAAUCGCUGCAGUGUCAAAUCGUCUGAAGACGACUUAGGUACCUGUCGUGGUGUCGUAAGUAGUAGAGCAGCCACCACACUGCGAUCUAUUGAGGCUUAGCCUCUGACUGGAAGGUUU